rnacentral:sRNA from 1 species
GCCAGGCGCGGUGGCACAUGCCUGUAAUCCCAACAGCUCGGAGGCUGAGGCAGGAGGAUCGAAGUUCAGAGCCAGCCUCAGCAAUGGCGAGGCGCUAAGCAACUCAGUGAGACCCUGUCUCUA